AUGAUUUGUGUAAGAGCAGCAGGACAGGCUAUGUACAAAGGUAAGACAAUUCAUCUAACAAAGAGGCCGUGGAGAGAGUUAUCAAGGAAGACAGCCUUCAAUAAUUACUUUACCAUCACUCUUUUCCAGAAAGGGGUGGAAUUAUCAGGAUGGAAUCAAGGAUGCUUCCAAACAGAGGGAAUAUCUCAAGCUAUGACUCAGAGAGUUUUCCCCACAUCGUUAAUGGUAUGGGAAUUAGGAGCAGGUCAUGUGACUCACAUGGCUCACCAUAUAAUUCCUUCUGGAGAGCAGCUGGAAGUUGCUUAUAGCCUCUCUCAGAAGGACUUGUCAGCACAAACAAUGCAGAUUGCAAAAUGAGAAAAUCUGAAACAAAUGCACGUGCUCAAAUCUCCUAGCUGGCAUUCUGCAACUUCCGGGAGCUGGGUGACAUUGCAUAAAGCACGCGGGCCUUUGAAUCUGACAAGCCGGAGCACGAGGCCAAACUCCCUCCUAAUUAAUUGUGAGGUUCUGAGCUAGUCUUUGAACCAUUCGGAGCUUUACUGGUUUUCUCAAAAUAUUGAAAUGUAAUGUCUUUAUGCAUGGACGUGAGGCCUCUCAACAUAGGUGCCAGUGCCCUUCAAGUGAGCCAGGUGAAUACAUGUUGAGGGUUACACAGCAGGUCUAAAUCCCUGUAUAUCUCAAAGCAGAACAUAAAGAGACCAGCAUAAAGUGAUCUUGGAAGGGUUACUGGCAAAUAUUAGAUGUCUCCUACUACAGGAUGAAAAAUAAAAGAUAUCACAAAAUUGACGCUACCAAAAAAUUUAGGAUACUUUUCAUCAACUCUGAAUGUGAAAACACACUGUACAUAACAGCUGUUUUUAAUGAAUACUGCAAAUCAGAUAACCAAUGUACACUUCAUUUUCAAAAAUCGUAUCAUCCAAAGAGAUGACUAUAUUAUUUUUCCUUCUUUAUUGUUAAGCUUUUACUUUUCUUGACCGUAUUUUAUAAUAUCCAAUUCUCAAGAAAACAAUACGUAAAAAGUUAAUGAAAGCAGAAUACAACUUGUAGUAAACCUUUUAAAAAGUCUGCAUACAUGAACUCACAUCAAACACGUACACACAUAUACACGCACAUACACAUACACGUACGUAUCCUGCAAGAAUGCUCCUUGCUAUUUUGACUAUGAUAGUUAAGAAAAAUGAAUGUGUUCGGGAAUUACUGUUCAGUAGUUUAGAAAAUGGGAUUUAAGAUCGGUUUCAACAAGGUGAUAAAGACCUUUCAACCCUUUUCCCUCUUGUUUUAUAUAGUUUCAUUUUUUAAUAAUCAAUUUUUUUUUUGGCUCAACAGUAUACUCUAGACAGAUAUCUACAUGUUUGACAUAAUGAAACAACGUCAUUACUCUGUUCUAACAAAUUCCCAGUGUAGUAAUAAGCCAAAUAACUUCUUAACCACUACAAGUAUCUGUGUCAAAGAGGAAUGAGAAUUGCAUAGACUGGAGCUAUUUCCCUCUCCUCAGACCUCCAUAUCUAGGUGUCUUUUUUCAUAGCUUAAGCUAUAAAUUGAAUGGCAUAAUUUGAUGAUGGACAUGGAACUGUGUAUUAGUUUUUAUUUUGACAAAAUCAUUAAACAUCACAUAGGUUGAAAAAUGAAUCACGAAGCCCUAAGCCUGCCUUAGAAGAUUGCACUUCAUAAACUGAAUUGCUCACAUGGGCAACAUUUUGGUGGAAGUUAUAGAUUUUCUAGCAUAUCUCUGAUAGAUAGGACUAAUAUAACUUCAAUAAAAACUCUGGAUAUGUCAAUAUAAAAUUUUCCUCACCAUUGAAAGAUGUAAGAUACUCUAACUAAUAAAUCGGACGGCAACCUAUUCCUUAAGGUAUACUAACAUACAUAUUGGGUUACAACAAGCAACAGAAUCAUCGAGGUAAUAAACCUCAGUCACAGAGGGCCCAUCAGAGAAGGUUUCUCUCCAUUGCAAGAGUUCAUAUGAUGGCUGUAGAUAUGAAAUACUCCCUGAAUGUUAAUUUCCAGUAAUUGACUCAGCUAUACAUGUCAUGAUUUAGAACUACAUAUAAACUAUACCUGAAUGUCAUGUAUGCCACCUAUAUUUAUGACACUUCAUAUGAAUGAUAUGGGUGGUGUGAUCACAUUGGGCCUGAAGUGCAAGGCAAACUGAAAAAUCAAAGUGAAGGAAGUCUAAUUUAUGCAUUUACCAACAAUUUUUGUGUUACUUGAAAUUGUAUAUUACUUAAUAUUUCUGGCCUCAUUAUCAUUAUUUGAAAAUUGAAGAUGAUAAUGAAUAUCUCUUAGGGAGGCUACAGGGGUGAAAUUUUGAAGCAAGUAGACCAAGCCUUGGCAGCUGAGAGAUGUUAGUUUCCUUGCCUCACCCAUUCAGGUUGCUUUUCACCUUCAUGACUUACACUACUCUUGGUAACAUGCCUUAUGUGUGAUCCACUAUUUUUCCUUCUACUUCAUUUAUUUUGGGAACAUAAAUCAUUUUGUAUUAGUCAAUGUUCUUCAGAGAAAUAGAACAAAUAAGAUGUGAAAAAAAGAGAGUGGAGAGAGAAACAAAUUUAUUUUAAGGAAUUGACUCAUGUGGUUAUGAGGGCUGGCAAGUGCAAAAUCUGCAAUCGAGGUUCAAGGGCCAUCAGCAGGCAGUACUGCUUCCUCUUGCUCAGGGGAAAUCAGUCUUGCAUUAUCUUCAGGUGUUCAACGGAUUGAAUGAGGCCCACCCACAUUAUGGAGGGCAAUCAGUUUUACUCAAAAUCCACCCACGUAAAUGUGCAUCUCAGGCCAGGCAUAGUGGCUCACACCCUUAAUCCCAGCACUUUGGGAGGCCAAGACAGGCCAUUCACUAGAGGACAGGAGUUUGAGAUCAGCCUGGCCAACAUGGCAAAACCUCAUCUCUACUAAAAAUACAAAAUUAGCUGGCCGUGGUGGUGGGCACCUGUAGUCCCAGCUACUUGGGAGGCUGAGGCACAGGAAUCACUUGAACCUGGGAGGCAGAGGUUGCAGUGAGCUGAGAUUGUGCCACUGCACUCCAGCCUGGCCAAGAGAGCAAAACUCUGUCUCAAAAAAAAAAAAAAGUUACUCUCAUUCAAAAACAUCCUCACAGAAACAUUCAGAAUAAUUUUUGACCACAUAUCUGGGCACAUAAAAUUAAACAUCAUACCCUUCCUAUCAUUGUGUUUCUAUGGAAAACAUUAUUCUUUGUUCAGAAUCCUACUUCUUGGCAAUUGAGUUUCAAACUUAUUAGAUUUUGUUGUUAGCUAGUGAACAUCAGGCUAUACAAUAGUUUUAUUUUUAAGAAAGAUUAUAAAAUACACUUAAUGAUAAGGAGGAAGGUUUUAUUUUUAAUCUUUGUAAGCACUAAGCGGGCACCUCGAUUUUUAGGAUGUCAAAUUUGCAUCAUAUCAUACAUAUGAAGAUGCUUUAAAUAUCAGUUUUUAGAACAAGUAAAAAGCCUUUUAACAAUUUGCUUUUCUAAUUAUUUGACCAUGAGUAAUUUGUUUAAUUUAAAAUUGAAUAAGCUUCAUUAGAAAGCAUAGUACCCACUGAAAAGUCAGAAAAAUAAACCCACAUGUUUUCAAUAGGAUGGACAUUUUGUGAGGGCUAAUUUAACAAUUCAUUCUACUAAUUUAAAAAGUAAUGAGUUGUCUUAAUGUUAUCUUUCUAGAUACUUACAUUUUUUAAAUUUAUAUGUUAUUUUAUUUUUUAUGUUAUUUAGCCUCUUUUGCCUAAUUUAUCUGAAAGUUGAAGAUAUUAAUAUCUCUUAGAGUGGUAAUUUUUGUUAGACCCUGAAA
ensembl:lncRNA